UCAACAUCAACAUCAACAAGUGUCAGCACCAGUAUCAGAGUCAGCACAUCAGUAUCAACGAGUGCGUCUAAAUCAGUAUCUACUUCAACAUCAACAACCUUGUCUCGCUUCACCAGUUUGGUGACAACGACGACGCCAACCUUCACGACAUCUGUUUCCUCAUCGGCUUCAACGAGUCUGUUGAGCUCAAUCAGUCCAUCGCUGUCCUCCUCUGUUUCAACAUCGUUUAGUGUCUCGUCAAUCUGUCCAUCUUGCUUCUACAUUAACAGCAAAAAUGAGCCGGAAUAACAUGCGGUGAGUAAAAUGGCUUC